CAAUAGCGUAUAUCAAAGUUGUUGCGGUUAAAAAGCUCGUAGUUGGAUUUCUGCUGAGAACGACCGGUCCGCCCUUUGGGUGUGUAUCUGGCUCUUUCUUGGCAUCUUCUUGGUGAACGUUGCUGCACUUGACUGUGUGGAGCGCUACCCAGGACCUUUACUUUGAGGAAAUUAGAGUGUUUCAAGCAGGCAUACGCCUUGAAUACAUUAGCAUGGAAUAAUAAGAUAGGACCUCGGUUCUAUUUUGUUGGUUUCUAGAGCUGAGGUAAUGAUUAAUAGGGAUAGUUGGGGGCAUUCGUAUUUAACCGUCAGAGGUGAAAUUCUUGGAUUUGUUAAAGACGGACUACUGCGAAAGCAUUUGCCAAGGAUGUUUUCAUUGA
rnacentral:rRNA from 1 species